GGGAGAUUCAAUAUUGCCGUCAAAAGCAAUGUGCACUUCUCCCUUAGUAAGACGCUGUGAUCCAUUAGAAAUUGACCAUUCCUGGUUAUUUGGCUAUCAAUAGGCCGGUACGAAGUUCUUCAAUGCAAAUGGCUUGAUCCUUAAUGGUCGGGUGUAUUGUUUGGGGAGCGUGCUGUCACCUGUGUUAUAGCUGUCUGAUGGAUUUUAAAGGUCAUAUUACUGAUGCYYCGGCAUCACCCAUACGUGGGAGCGAAUAUGUGCCCGAUCAACAGCGGUUAAAUUUGGGAUACCUUUUGGACCCGUCUUGAAACACGGACCAAGGAGUCAAUCUAGUAUGCGAGUAAAUGAGUAUAUGAAACUUAUUUGCAGAAAAAACUUGACUGUUUUGGGACUACGAGUCGCGACUUGUCGCGGCCCCUCCAUCCCGGGGUAUUUCUAUCAACAUAUACAGCAAUGUGUAUGGGAAAUAUACCAUGAGCAUACUGGAUUUGACCCGAAAGGUGGUGAACUAUGCUUGAUCAGGUUGAAGUCAGGGGAAACCCUGAUGGAGGACCGAAGCAAUUCUGACGUGCAAAUCGAUUGUCAGAAUUGAGCAUAGGGGCGAAAGACCAAUCGAACCAUCUAG
rnacentral:rRNA from 1 species